rnacentral:misc_RNA from 1 species
CCAAUAGCGUAUAUUAAAGUUGUUGUGGUUAAAAAGCUCGUAGUUGAACCUUGGGCCUGGCUGGCCGGUCCGCCUCACCGCGUGUACUGGUCCGGCCGGGCCUUUCCCUCUGUGGAACCCCAUGCCCUUCACUGGGUGUGGCGGGGAAACAGGACUUUUACUGUGAAAAAAUUAGAGUGCUCCAGGCAGGCCUAUGCUCGAAUACAUUAGCAUGGAAUAAUAGAAUAGGACGUGUGGUUCUAUUUUGUUGGUUUCUAGGACCGCCGUAAUGAUUAAUAGGGACAGUCGGGGGCAUCAGUAUUCAAUUGUCAGAGGUGAAAUUCUUGGAUUUAUUGAAGACUAACUACUGCGAAAGCAUUUGCCAAGGAUGUUUUCAUUAAUCAGGAACGAAAGUUAGGGGAUCGAAGACGAUCAGAUACCGUCGUAGUCUUAACCAUAAACUAUGCCGACUAGGGAUCGGACGGUGUUAUUUUUGACCCGUUCGGCACCUUACG